rnacentral:lncRNA from 1 species
CUAGAUUUUAGAGGGCAUUAAAAGUUCUAUGCAGCAAAACUUUUUCUCGUUGGCCCAGUUUGGUAAUGUAGGCCCAGGUUUAGGCCCCAGCCUGAAAGUCCAUACCAGUAAAAAUAGAUUUUAUUUGAUUUUAGGCGCAGAGAGAACGUACUUCCAAACAAGCACUUUUCUAACGACACUCGCGAACUUAAUUAAUUGAUAUUAUGAGGCCCGAACCGGUUUCCCUAAUGAUGUGUUUAACCUAAUGUAAGCGACUAAGCUUUUAAGCACGUGUGGAGCUGGACGGCUCGCCAAUCAGCGACAGAUUUACUGGAAUUUUUGGUCUUAUCUAAAGGUAAGGUCGGCGUAAACCAUUUGCAUUGAUAAGAUUGAGAUAAUUACUUAUUAUCUUGAAAACUCUUUAUGUUUCAUUUUUCUAGUGGUUCAAAAACACUAUCAUAAAACCUUUUAAGUUUUUCAGUUAAUCAAUUAUUUUAAUGAUAACAGUAGAGUUACAAAUAAUUUUGUAUAAACUAACGUAUAUUGGUUGAAAAAUAAAUAAUAAUAAUAAUUUUUUAAUUUCAUGGGCCUGAUGACAGUUUUAUAUUUAUUUGUGGAUUUUCGUUUCUAUCUAUAAUUUGGCCUGCGCAUCAACAUGAAUUUAAUUGUUGGAUUAAUAUCAAUUAAUAUAUUGGUCGUUCUUUAAUUUUUUGAACUUAAAUUUUUAGCUCCUGUAUUUGAUAAUCUCAUUUUUUGCACAAAAAGUUUCUUCUAAUUUGAGCUUCAUGCAUUUAAAAGGAACUAGAAACUUUAAAAAAAGAUUACCAAGGAUUGUUGUUAGAAGCAUUUUUAACUUAAUUCAUGAUGGCUGCAUUGUAAAAAUUGCAAGUUAAUCAUAUCUGUCUGCCUUCUCUGAAACUAGAAAAGUUAAUAAGCAGCAACUUCAAGCCAUAGGCGUCGCCACAAACAGUGGCACCAGUAGCGGCUUCAAGGCCAAGAGCAUUGUCAUGAUUGGCUGGACGCAAGUAGCAAAUGGACACGAGCAGCGGCACCAACAGCGACAUGGUCUGUGUGCAGCGAGUUAGGGAAUUAAGGGUUUGUGAUUUUUUUUUGAUAGGUUUUUAGUUUAAUCGAUUUAGUGUCUUAUAUUUGUAAUUUUUGGACAAGGUCUUUUAGGUAAAUUCACCAAAUUUUUAAGGGAAUAAACUGAGUUCACCUUUUAAUUAUUUAACCAAACUGAAUCCAUUAAUAAUUUAGGGUUUAAGUCAUAGGCGGUGCCACGUUGGGACUAGGGGGCUUGACUUUCAAAAUUUACAAAUUUAAUUAAAUAUUUGUCUCAUUUAUUAUAAAAGUCCCUAUUAAAAUUAAAAAAAUAAUCAAAAUAUUAAGUAUUUAUCUUUAACUUCCAACCCACAAAGAAAUUAUUAUUUUGAGAUUCGUUGCACGCUAACUCUCCUCACACAAAAAAACAGAAAUUAUUUUAUCUUAUUGAGUUUAUCAAAAUAAUUUUUCUUCAAUAAAUCUUAUGACACUUAAAAUUCAAUUUGAUAUUUACAUUAUAUAAGUGGGUUCUAAUAACAAAUUUUCAAAAUUGAAAGAGAUUGAUAGGUUAACAAGAAAAAUAGUUGAUAUUAAAAAAGAUAAAUUGUAUUCAUUAAUUUAUUUAUCGAUAACAUUAGCAUUGAAUUUACUAGUUGUCAUAACUACAGUAGUAAAAGGCGUUUUCAACUAUGAAUUUUGUGAAAAAUCGUCUGUGAAAUCAUAUUAAAGAUUAAUAAUUGAGUAAUAUUAUUAUUACACAUGUAGAAAAAGAUUUAUUUUGUGUUCUUGAUGAUAAAUUUAUUUUUUAACGUUUUUAACAUAUGAAAACACGUCGAGAUCAAUUAUAAAUGUAUUGAAUAUGUUAGUGAAUUUUUAUUUUUGAUACUUAUUAUUUAUUGACUUUUUUUAAAUUGCAAUAUUUUUUUAAUUUCUAGCACCGCCACUCGUUUAAGUGUUAUUUUCAAAAUAUUAGGAACUUUUAUAUCUCUUUUCCUAAACAUAUGGGAUCUAUUAGUCUUUUUCCCUUUAUAAUAUUCAACAUAGGUACUAGCUGCUAGCUAGCAAUUCAAUUGAAAGCUAAUUUGCUUGUAAUUGAUGCCCUAAACAAGCCGCGGCCGGAUUAUUAAAAUGUUAAUUCCCCAACAAAACCAAGUGCCUCAAUCCAUAAUAUCCACUUUACGCCGUUGCUAAUCUUUGUUAACCACGUACGUCAACUAACCUCAAAAACAUAAUUUGAUUAUUCUAACUACACUCUAAUUUGAUUCCCUUACGUUACGCCGAUUUUGCUGAUUCCCAUAUAAACUAAUAUUGUUAAGAAAAUUUAAAGCAACUAAACGGAUCACUUUAUGUUGUAUACAUUGCCUUUACACGUAGGGCGCAUUUUACGCAGCCAAUUAGCUGCACAUUAUCUCGCAUGAUUAGCUUAAAGAAGCAUAUGUUUAUGUAACUAUAAGCUUAUCUUCUUAAUGCCACUUGCCCGUACGAAUAAAAUGAGCUUCACUUUUUCUCCAAGUUGGAUUGAUGCCUUUGUGUUCUUUUAAGCAGCACGAAUAUUCCAGAGAAGUAUGCCUUGCUAGUCAUUUGUAACUAUCAAAAUUGUGAUAAUGGAUUCGCGAGAUAUGAAUUGUAAGUAAUUUGUCCAUGAAUGCUUAAAUAAUAAUUAUAAAAGGCAAUAUCAAUAGAUGGAUCACUCAUAUUCGCUGAAAAAGCUUGGAAUUGCCCCUAACUCACGAUAAGAUUUUGAAAAUAAGUUAAAUUUAUGAACUUAAUUAAUUUACUGCUGUAUGACAAGAUAAAAAAGACCAGAUUGUGAGUGAUGUGGAUAUUUUUGAAAAAAAAAAAAUUACAUAUUGAGAGUGUAACAUAGAUAGGGCCACGAGUUCCUUCCGAUGAAA